UGGUCAAGUUAUUAAGGGUGCAGGGCGGAUGCCUUGGCACUAGGAGCCGAUGAAGGACGUGAUAAGCUGCGAUAAGCUUCGGGGAGUUGCACGUAAACUUUGACC
rnacentral:rRNA from 1 species